rnacentral:rRNA from 1 species
CACGUAGGGCGCAAGCGUUGUCCGGAAUUAUUGGGCGUAAAGAGCUCGUAGGCGGUCUGUUGCGUCCGCUGUGAAAACCCGGGGCUUAACCCUGGGCUGGCAGUGGAUACGGACAGACUAGAGGUAGGUAGGGGAGAAUGGAAUUCCCGGUGUAGCGGUGAAAUGCGCAGAUAUCGGGAAGAACACCCGUGGCGAAGGCGGCUCUCUGGGACGGUACUGACGCUGAGACGCGAAAGCGUGGGGAGCAAACAGG